GAGAAUCAACCUUGGCAUUCAACAUGUUUAUGCCAUCUACAUCAUACAUACCUGGAACUUUCUUAGGCAUACCUCUUUCAUUAGACCACUGAUAAUUGUUAGAGGCCAUUUCUUUUAACAACUCAUAUGCCUCUUCUGUUGACUUACUCAUUAAAGUACCUCCUGCAGCUGCAUCUAUGGUAAUCCUGACUGAAUGUGUUA
rnacentral:lncRNA from 1 species